UCCACACCCCUCCCCUUCUGCAGAUCAGGGAGCUGAGGGUAAACUGGCAAGGGUAAGCUCCCGGCGGCCCUUGCCCCAUCCCCAGGACCCUGCCUGGGCCCUCGCACUCAGACCCUCCAGCUUCCUUGUCUCUACGGAUGAAGAUUGUAAAGGACAUACGGAGUUUUUUUCUGGCUGGCCCCACGCCUGCUGCUCCCACACGGUGGCUGGGGGAUGUUGUCAGAGGCCCCAGGGAGUGAUGAUGGCCUAGCUUCCAGAAAGACAGUUGAAAACCCAGCUCCAAGGUCCAGUCCUGGGCACUCCGGACACCAAGACAAAGACAAUGCCCCUGCCCUUGAGGACCCAAUGGUCAAGUGAGGGAGACAGAGGUGUGAAAUAGCAGCUUUGCAGAUAGGUUUUGAACAGGGAAGAGAAGGUUGGAGCACAGAUCCUGAGAAUGAAGGGACAAAGGGAACAGAGACGCUGGGGACAAUAAGAAAACCUCUCCCACGACACCCCUUGGCCAAAGACAGGCCCUCGAGAUCAGCAGUGGAAGUCUGCGGCGCUUGUGUGGGAGACAACCCUUGCAGCCUCAGAACCAACAAUGAACAAAGGCUGCCGUCUCUCUGGGAAUACAGGAGAUCUGACAACAGCCCCGCGCAUUUCAUCAGUGUAGACAUCCCUCCUGGGCUUUGAAGCCUGAAGUGCCCUCCUUUAGCUGUCUAACCAGAUCAAAUAAGCUGGAUGGCUGCCAUAUCUCGACUUCACUUUGCGCUAAUCCAUAGUCACAGCCAGCUUCGUAACAAUCCUACCAAACCAUCUGAGCAAGAGCAAAAAUAAUUCUCCUGGGCAAAGAUGGAAAGCUCCAAGAUGGGAAUGUUAACUCCUUGCUGCCUCUUCAAAAGGGAGUGGAUCUUGAAGUCAGUUGUAGGAAACCUUCCAGAAGAGAGACUUCAUCCCUCUCCAAAGUGGUGACAAUGGUGUUCUCUCUCUUACAGUUCAAAAACUCUUCCUAUUCCAGGGAACCAUGUAAAUGAACACCCAUAAGAGUUAACAAUAGAAUAGGGGCGGGUCUGCCUCUCAGAAAGCAACCCCACCCUAAAGAAAAAGCAUUAUUCUACCUCUGUUUAUUCACAGGAUCAUUCUAGGGGAAACCUUACCCUAUCCCCCACUGUCUCCAAACAGCAGUGAGGACUUCAGGAAAUCCUUGUCACAAAGACUGGCAGAACCAGACAUCUAACAACAAACCCAGAAGCCAAGUGGCAUGGCUAAAAAAGAUUAAAAAUCGACAUGAGUUCUAACAUCUAUGGUUCCUAGCUGUGGUUGCCAUGGAAAUAGACAUCUGCUCUAGGGAGAAGGGAAAAAAAAGUGGUGAUGGUGGGGACUGGUUUAAGUGCUUUAAAAUAAUCAGUAUUUUAAAAGAUUAAUUUUUUUAUGUCACAACAUUAACAAAUGAA